rnacentral:rRNA from 1 species
UACGGGGGGAGCAAGCGUUGUUCGGAUUUACUGGGCGUAAAGGGCGCGUAGGCGGCCACCGCAAGUCGACUGUGAAAUCUCCGGGCUUAACCCGGAAAGGUCAGCCGAUACUGCGGGGCUAGAGUGCAGAAGGGGCAACUGGAAUUCUCGGUGUAGCGGUGAAAUGCGUAGAUAUCGAGAGGAACACCUGCGGCGAAGGCGGGUCUCUGGGCCGAUACUGACGCUGAGGAGCGAAAGCGUGGGGAGCAAACAGG